UACGAAGGGUGCAAGCGUUACUCGGAAUUACUGGGCGUAAAGCGUGCGUAGGUGGUUCGUUAAGUCUGUCGUGAAAGCCCCGGGCUCAACCUGGGAAUGGCGAUGGAUACUGGCGGGCUAGAGUCCGGAAGAGGCGAGUGGAAUUCCUGGUGUAGCGGUGAAAUGCGCAGAUAUCAGGAGGAACACCAAUGGCGAAGGCAGCUCGCUGGGACGGUACUGACGCUGAGGCGCGAAAGCGUGGGGAGCAAACAGG
rnacentral:rRNA from 1 species